UUUACCCAAAAUGCUGUUUGUUCAGUUGAGUUGCACCAUUUUCUACAUUGUAUUUUCUUGAAUGUGAUCUUAUAUAUAUGAAAUUCCUCCUCUGCGUCAAUGUUUCAGCGGGAAACUUGUACAAGACUCAAUCGUUUGUGGUUUCUAAGCAUGACGUGAACAACUUUGUGAAAAAGGGAAGAGAGGCUAUUAGAUUUUAUAGAAUGUAUUUGAGCUGAUGCUGAUGUGAGAUGGAACUUCUGCUCACCACAUUCUCUGAGUGUUUUUCAGAAGCAGAGUGACACAGUGUCAGUGCUGGAUGUGAGGAUGGGACACGCUUUGUUCUCCAUGCUGGGGUUGUUCUUUUCCUGUUGGUACAAAGUGGACGUAUUUCACAGACAGGUGUCAAAGCGUCAGAGCUGGAUUUGAAGAUGGGACACACUUUGCUGUCUGUGCUGUUGUUACACUUGCUGAAUACACUCCUCUACUAUGUACAUGCUCAAGAGAGUCUGUGACCUUCAUAUGUGACAUGAAUGAAGGAGACGAUGCUGACUGGGAAUACAAGAUCAACAAGGAUGGACGAGAUUAUGUUCCCUACAACACACAUCAACGCUACACAUUAGCAUCUCUGUCUGCAGGUGACAGUGGUGAUUAUCAGUGUGUUGGUCACAGGAGGAGCUCAAAUUCUACAAAGAGCAGU
ensembl:lncRNA